rnacentral:piRNA from 1 species
UGAGCAGAUGGCCAAAGGAAGGGUUU